AACGUAGGACACAAGCGUUAUCCGGAGUUACUGGGCGUAAAGAGCGUGUAGGCGGCCUGAAAGGUCAGCUGUGAAAACUCGAGGCUCAACCUCGAGACGUCGGUUGAAACCAUCUGGCUAGAGUCCGGAAGAGGAGUGUGGAAUUCCCGGUGUAGCGGUGAAAUGCGCAGAUAUCGGGAAGAACACCCGUGGCGAAGGCGGCACUCUGGGACGGUACUGACGCUGAGACGCGAAAGCGUGGGGAGCGAACAGG
rnacentral:rRNA from 1 species